rnacentral:rRNA from 1 species
CUACGGGCUGCAGCAGUUAGGAAUCUUCCGCAAUGGGCGAAAGCCUGACGGAGCAAUACCGCGUGGGGGAAGAAGGUCGAAAGAUUGUAAACUCCUUUUCUGUCUUACUAAGAUCUGAAGAAGACAGGAAUAAGUCACGGCUAAUUACGUGCCAGCAGCCGCGGUGAUACGUAAGUGGCAAGCAUUACCCGGAAUUACUGGGUGUAAAGCGUCUGUAGGCGUUUGUAAAAGUUGAGUAUUAAAUCUCGGAGCUCAACUUCGAGGCUGUAUUCAAAACUCUACAAAUAGAGAAUGUUAAAGGUCAGUGGAAUUCUGCAAGUAGGGAUUAAAUCCGUAGAUAUGCAGAGGAACACCAAAAGCGAAGGCAGCUGACUGGGGCAUUUCUGACGCUGAGAGACGAAAGCGUGGGGAGCGAAAAGGAUUAGAUACCCCGGUAGUC